UUAUGUGAGUAAAAAAAGCAGCACUUUUCAAACAUUUGAGUUUUUCAUCAGUGAAUUAGUCCUACUGCAGUUGACAGGAUUGCUGCAAAACUGCCCCAGUAUGGAGCUGAAUUUAGAGAAAAUCCUGAUAAACCCUUUGGACAGCAGAGCCACACCAGGAAAGGACAAGGAAACAGAAGUUUGAGAGGGGUUUUUGUUCUUCAGGAACUUGUGCUUGUCCCACGCUACUACAGACCAGUCCAUGGACAGAACCUGACACUGAUAUCUGACUGUAUCCAAUUUCACUCAAUACACAGACAGAGCCUCUCUUCUGAAUUGUGUCCAAAGACACAAUUGGCAGGAGGUAAAAGAAGAAAAGAUGCUGCCUCCAUUCCCCAGCACACCUUGUUGAUUUAGUCUGGAAAAAAAAAGUUCCCUUCACACAGCUCACACACAGCUCAGGUCCUCUGCAUGUUGUGAUUCAGCCAAAUGUCUGCUCUCAUCCCAGGCAAAAUGACCUGCAGGAAGAAGGAGGAGAGGGCAGAUACAAUGAUCUGUGAGCAAAAGCAGAGUUUCAGCAGAAGAAGGAAAAAUCUCAGCUCUGACAGUCACCAUCCCAUAGGUGAAGGGGCUCUAUCCCUGCUGUCCUCUGCCUCCUUCUCCAUAAGAGUAAGACAAAGGGGUGCAAAUUUUGCAGCAAAGAAAAUGCAAGGUGGAUAUUAGGUAUGUUUCUUGCCUGUUGGGGGCUGAGAGAGUGCAGAGUGCUGCAGGAAGGCUUUGGAGGUUUUGGAGGAGCAGUUAAGCAGAUUUUGGGACCAUAGGGUGUUGUUUGAGUCAUUACAGACUGAGGAAAGUCCCAUCCAAGGGAACUGCAGAUGCAGGAGAUCCAUAGAGGGCUGCAGCUCCCGUGGGUGGACAUGUGGAUGGUCCUGAGCAGAGCAGAGACAGAGGAAGAAUCUGGAAUCCUAGAGGAAGGAUGGCAAAAGGCGAUGACCCUUCCCUUACAGGUGUGACUGGAGCUGUGAUCAUGCCACAGCUGGCUGCUGGUUUCCCUUCAUCUGACACUGGGAAUGUCCUGUUCCUCGCACUGACACGUGUCAAAUAAUUCACAGGCUGAAGGGAAUUCACAUCCCUGGAGAGGGAACAUCCAGGGAUGCUUGUCCUGCCUCUGCAAUGAGGGGUCUUUGCCUAAUCUCAGGAGUUCCUUCCCAGCUCUCAGCACAGAAGCACUGUCCAUGAAGGCAGCAGAGUGCCACUGAAACUUUGGAAAAUGGCUGGAGUUUACAGGUAUUUUCAAACCAAAGAUCCAAGCAGAGCCCUUAUUCCCACAUUAGCUUGCUACACAUUUUCCUAAUCAAAACAGUGGAACAGGUUCACAAACAGCCCUUCCUAAGGGUUUUGGUGGGGGUCAGAGGACUUGUCCCUCUUUUCUCAGUCUUACAGCUCCACACCUUUCAUCAGAGACUGGGGCAAGGAGUGUUUCUUUGGAUAAAACUCCCUAUUCCUUAUUCCUUUAGCAGCUUCCCGUGAUGCCAGGCAGCAGCAAGGGGCAUGCUCAGGAGCAAAGCACAAGAGGGAUCUCUGUCAGGUCCUCGUGUCCCCAGGACAAUCCUCUAUGCAGAGCCCUGAGCAGAGGUUUUGUGUAGCCAUCGUGACAGUAAUGCUAUGAAAGAUGCUGCUGAUAUCAGUCUGAGACAGGAAACACGUAAGGAAUUAGAAACAGACUCUCCUGAAAGAAGCAAGACAACAGGAUAUAUUACAAUAUCAAAAUGUGCUUGACAGGUAGAAUUUAUAUAUCACAUAGUGAAAGAAGCUGUUUGUCAAGGAAAGUCCAGUUCACUGAAGAGAACAGAAGAGAAUGAACCGUUCCUGGGCUUUCUAGCAGUGUGGGAGAAGAUCCACGCUACAGGACAAAAAAUCAUAUACAGCUGUAAGGAGUUGGUUCACACAGAAUUAGAUGUGCUGAAGCUGCCACCUGAUGUUUCCUGAUGUUGCCACACACGAGGCCUCUGUGUGACAUCUGUCUCUGAAAAUUUCUGGUCACUGCCCUUAUAAAUGGGAUCAUUUAUAGAAUAUAAGGGAUAGAGGGUCCUUCCAGAAAACCAGCCCAAGUGAAGUAAAUUCAUAGCAUAUCAGAUCCCUGCCAAGGGAAAAGUGUUGCCUAAAAUCAGCUCAAACCUGCUCUUUCCACUGGGAAAAGGAGUUCCUAGAGAACUGCAGAUUUGGUGGGUGCUUUCUGCUUUUCAGGACAAAUGACAGUUCCAAAGAAAAGGAAAAAGCCUUGGAUUGGAAGUUUGGGUUUUGGUAAAGAUUCUGAAGUUUUGGUGAGAGCUGGAGGAAGUUUUAUGUUCUAACACAGCAGGACAGAAGUACAAGGAGCAAACAAGGACUGUGCAGAAUGAGGUGCUGCUUUAGAAAAGUCCAA